rnacentral:rRNA from 1 species
AGUUGAGGACUCUAAUGAGACUGCCAACGAUAAGUUGGAGGAAGGUGGGGAGUGACGUCAAAUCAUCAUGCCCUUUAUGACCUGGGCUACAAACGUACUACAAUGGCCAAAUACAAAGAGAUGCGAAGCGGUGACGUGGAGCGAACCUCAGAAAGUUGGUCUCAGUUCAGAUUGAAGUCUGCAACUCGACUUCAUGAAGGCGGAAUCGCUAGUAAUCGCGGGUCAGCAGACCGCGGUGAAUACGUUCCCGGGUUU